UAACUUUGAGCGGUGGAUCACUCGGCUCGUGCGUCGAUGAAGAGCGCAGCCAGCUGCGU
rnacentral:rRNA from 1 species